rnacentral:rRNA from 1 species
AAUCGUACCCCAAACCGACACAGGUGGUCAGGUAGAGAAUACCAAGGCGCUUGAGAGAACUCGGGUGAAGGAACUAGGCAAAAUGGUGCCGUAACUUCGGGAGAAGGCACGCUGACACGUAGGUGAAGUGAUUUACUCAUGGAGCUGAAGUCAGUCGAAGAUACCAGCUGGCUGCAACUGUUUAUUAAAAACACAGCACUGUGCAAACACGAAAGUGGACGUAUACGGUGUGACGCCUGCCCGGUGCCGGAAGGUUAAUUGAUGGGGUCAGCGUAAGCGAAGCUCCUGAUCGAAGCCCCGGUAAACGGCGGCCGUAACUAUAACGGUCCUAAGGUAGCGAAAUUCCUUGUCGGGUAAGUUCCGACCUGCACGAAUGGCGUAAUGAUGGCCAGGCUGUCUCCACCCGAGACUCAGUGAAAUUGAACUCGCUGUGAAGAUGCAGUGUACCCGCGGCAAGACGGAAAGACCCCGUGAACCUUUACUAUAGCUUGACACUGAACAUUGAGCCUUGAUGUGUAGGAUAGGUGGGAGGCUUUGAAGUGUGGACGCCAGUCUGCAUGGAGCCGACCUUGAAAUACCACCCUUUAAUGUUUGAUGUUCUAACGUGGACCCGUAAUCCGGGUUGCGGACAGUGUCUGGUGGGUAGUUUGACUGGGGCGGUCUCCUCCUAAAGAGUAACGGAGGAGCACGAAGGUUGGCUAAUCCUGGUCGGACAUCAGGAGGUUAGUGCAAUGGCAUAAGCCAGCUUGACUGCGAGCGUGACGGCGCGAGCAGGUGCGAAAGCAGGUCAUAGUGAUCCGGUGGUUCUGAAUGGAAGGGCCAUCGCUCAACGGAUAAAAGGUACUCCGGGGAUAACAGGCUGAUACCGCCCAAGAGUUCAUAUCGACGGCGGUGUUUGGCACCUCGAUGUCGGCUCAUCACAUCCUGGGGCUGAAGUAGGUCCCAAGGGUAUGGCUGUUCGCCAUUUAAAGUGGUACGCGAGCUGGGUUUAGAACGUCGUGAGACAGUUCGGUCCCUAUCUGCCGUGGGCGCUGGAGAACUGAGGGGGGCUGCUCCUAGUACGAGAGGACCGGAGUGGACGCAUCACUGGUGUUCGGGUUGUCAUGCCAAUGGCACUGCCCGGUAGCUAAAUGCGGAAGAGAUAAGUGCUGAAAGCAUCUAAGCACGAAACUUGCCCCGAGAUGAGUUCUCCCUGAGACUUAGAGUCUCCUGAAGGAACGUUGAAGACGACGACGUUGAUAGGCCGGGUGUGUAAGCGCAGCGAUGCGUUGAGCUAACCGGUACUAAUGAACCGUGAGGCUUAACC